GUUAGGAAUAUUGGACAAUGGGCGCAAGCCUGAUCCAGCCAUGCCGCGUGAACGAUGAAGGCCUUCGGGUUGUAAAGUUCUUUAGCCGAUGAUUAUAAUGACUGUAGUCGGAAAAUAAGCCCCGGCUAACUUCGUGCCAGCAGCCGCGGUAAUACGAAGGGGGCGAGCGUUAUUCGGAAUCACUGGGCGUAAAGCGUGCGUAGGCGGUCUCGUAAGUUAGGAGUGAAAGCCCAGGGCUCAACCUUGGAAUUGCUCUUAAAACUGCAAGGCUAGAAUCUCGGAGAGGAUAGCGGAAUUUCCAGUGUAGCAGUGAAAUGCGUAGAUAUUGGAAGGAACACCAGUGGCGUAAGCGGCUAUCUGGACGAGUAUUGACGCUGAGGCACGAAAGCGUGGGGAUCGAACAGGAUUAGAUACCCUUGUAGUCC
rnacentral:rRNA from 1 species